rnacentral:siRNA from 1 species
UUGACGAGAGAACUUAUUGGCC